rnacentral:misc_RNA from 1 species
GAUGAAGAACGUAGCGAAAUGCGAUACUUGGUGUGAAUUGCAGAAUCCCGUGAACCAUCGAGUCUUUGAACGCAAGUUGCGCCCGAAGCCUCGGCUAAGGGCACGUCUGCCUGGGCGUCACGCAUCGCGUCUCCCCCAAACCGCCAAGGUGGAGGGGAAGGAAGAUGGCUUCCCGUGCCUCACCCGGCGCGGUUGGCCUAAAUUUGGAGCCCGCGGCACUUAGCUCUCGCGGCGAUAGGUGGUGAACAAGGCCUUGGCCGUGCAAACAACCCGCUGCGAAGCUCUAUGUCACGUGCGCUCGUCGGACCCUUUGAAGUUGCCUUCGGUGACUUAAAACCUUUGCGACCCCAGGUCAGGCGGGGCUACCCGCUGAAUUUAAGCAUAUCAAUAAGCGGAGGA